AAGUCAUCUUCCUCACUCUACUACUUUUCCCUCACCGGCAGCAAUUUUUACAUAAAUUGUUAACUCCACGUUUGUUUAAUUAAAUAUGGAGGGGGAGGAGUCGUAUUCUGAUGACGACGACUUUGUCUCAACGCAGAGGAAGAGACCCAAAUUGGUUGAGAAGAAAAAGAGAGUGAAAGUGGUGAAAGCCGGUCCAUCUACUUCUGCUUCUGCUGCUACAAAACCUGCAACGAUUGAGACACCCGCCCCUGCUCCUCCCAAACAUCUGAAGGUGGAGACGACGAGAGCGGAAGGUUGUGCAGAAGGAGAAUUAAAUCCACGUGGGAUGGAGGAUCACGACAAGAGAAAGUCAGUCACCCCUACCAGUACUGCUCGGGAGGAUCAGGAUUUUCAACCUGUUUCGUGGGAAUUCGUUCCGAGAGUGGAGGAAAUGAAGGUGGACGAGGAGGAAAAGAGACCCAUUAGGGAUGGGAGAGGAAUUUUUGUUCGUAAUGGGGAAUUGGCAGAAGAGUUCCAAAUAAAGACCACAGGUGUGUCCGAUUCGAAAAUUGGCAAAAUAAGUAAAGAUGAAGGGGUCGAUAAGAUCAGAAAGACUAUUCUGCGGUUAGUUGGUCUGGCUCCGGAUGCAGCCAUCUCUCCUGACCUCCCUUUGUUUGAAGCGUCCCCCGAACCAACCUUUACACCCGAAGAGCAGGGAUUGACUGCCGGACAGAGGGAGGCUCUCUUUAAGGAGAUUUUUGGAAGAUGUGGUCGUGUUGAAGUGGAUGAUAAGCCGGGAUGGUUUCUAAUUAUUCACAAGGCCCCCACCACCGGGAUAAUACAUCUUUGCUUGGAAAAUUUGAGGAAGAAUGCGAACGCUACCGUUUAUUCGGCUUAUAGGCUGUGUACAGAACCUAAGUGCUACCAGUAUUCGAAUACUCUUGCAAAUGAAGUACUUCCUAAGUGUCCCAUGCAUCAGCCCGAACCGAUUUACACCGUGAUGAAAGUGACUGAUUACAAACGGAGGGACGUGCUGGUUCAACUUCAUUUGAGAAUGACCCACUCUGUGGGGUUAAAUGCAUCCGAACAGAAGAAAGAUGAAGAGACUGAAUUGCUGCUGUGUAGCAGAUCUUAUGGUUCUCAGGCAUGGAUAGAAUACUCUGAGAGUCGAAUUUCAACACUCGCAACUAAGGGACUCAAAGGCAAGGCCAACAAGGACGAGGAUGAUAAAAAUCGUCCGAUUCCCAAGUCCAUCUCACGCUACCAUUUCGCCAACGAGGAGGAAGCUCUCAAGAAGUUGUCAUUUGAAUCAACGAUCGGUAUGUUUAUGAAACUCGCUCCUGGAACACAACCUAUCAUCAAUCUCGACGACCUCAUCCCACUCUGUUACGGGAUGGAGAGUGAGAUCGAUGCACGUCUCAAGGAGUGGGGUAUGGAGCUCAAAAUUCGUCGUCACUUGACACCGGAAGAGAGGGUGGAGGUCAAGUACCCGUUCCAAGGAGAGUACUUUCUCACCACCACCGUCAUAACCACUCCCACCAGAACCACCUGCAUCACUACCGCAACAGCAGCAGCAGCACUACAACUACCGGCGAAAGGGAAGACGUUUUUGUAAGCCGUCAUGUCUCGAGACAUGCACUAUUUUGGAUGGAGUAACACUCCCGAUUUCAAGUCCCGUUUAAAUGGAUCAGGGACUGAUGGUGCUCGGGAGUAUAAGCGCAUAACGGAAGCAAGGGUCUAUCCACCGGGAAUUAACCUUUAGGAUCCCAGUCCACGAAUGCUCCAAACACUCCCUGUUACCUACUCGCCAACUGUGAUGAUCCUGAUGAUGAUAAGAAGAAGAAGAAGAACAUCAAGACAAAGACGAUUGAAGCUAAAAUGAUAAUUGCUGGCUACAUUGCAUACUUGUUAGGAUUCCAUAAUCCUAUUGUUCCUAGAUUUUUGCCAUGCUACUCUACUAAUAAGUGUGUCUCUUUAAGUCUUGUUGAUUCUACUUCAUGGGGUGAGAUUUGUGACUUCGUUAAGUUAUUCUGGGGUAUCGAACCAAUGUUGGGGACAUUUGUGGGAAAUUAAUUUGUUUAUGUUUUGUAUAUUUAUCUGAAUAUGAAAUAAAUCAUACCUCGCACAUUCUCGAAG